rnacentral:rRNA from 1 species
GACGAACGCUGGCGGCGUGCCUAAUACAUGCAAGUAGAACGCACAGUUUAUACCGUAGCUUGCUACACCAUAGACUGUGAGUUGCGAACGGGUGAGUAACGCGUAGGUAACCUGCCUGGUAGCGGGGGAUAACUAUUGGAAACGAUAGCUAAUACCGCAUAAUAUUGAUUAUUGCAUGAUAAUUGAUUGAAAGAUGCUAUUGCAUCACUACCAGAUGGACCUGCGUUGUAUUAGCUAGUAGGUGAGGUAACGGCUCACCUAGGCGACGAUACAUAGCCGACCUGAGAGGGUGAUCGGCCACACUGGGACUGAGACACGGCCCAGAAUCCUACGGGAGGCAGCAGUAGGGAAUCUUCGGCAAUGGACGAAAGUCUGACCGAGCAACGCCGCGUGAGUGAAGAAGGUUUUCGGAUCGUAAAGCUCUGUUGUAAGAGAAGAACGGGUGUGAGAGUGGAAAGUUCACACUGUGACGGUAUCUUAACAGAAAGGGACGGCUAACUACGUG